AUACUACUUACUCCGUCCAACAAAAAAGUCUCAAUUUUGACUAAAUUUGAAUGUAUCUAUACACUAAGUCAUGUCUAGAUACAACCAAAUUUCGACAAACUUGAGAUAUCUUUUGUUGAACGGAGGGAGUAGCUA
rfam:Brachypodium distachyon strain Bd21 chromosome 1, whole genome shotgun sequence.